GACGAACGCUGGCGGCGUGCCUAAUACAUGCAAGUAGAACGCUGAAGGAGGAGCUUGCUUCUCUGGAUGAGUUGCGAACGGGUGAGUAACGCGUAGGUAACCUGCCUGGUAGCGGGGGAUAACUAUUGGAAACGAUAGCUAAUACCGCAUAAUAGUAGAUGUUGCAUGACAUUUACUUAAAAGGUGCAAUUGCAUCACUACCAGAUGGACCUGCGUUGUAUUAGCUAGUUGGUGGGGUAACGGCUCACCAAGGCGACGAUACAUAGCCGACCUGAGAGGGUGAUCGGCCACACUGGGACUGAGACACGGCCCAGACUCCUACGGGAGGUAGCAGUAGGGAAUCUUCGGCAAUGGACGAAAGUCUGACCGAGCAACGCCGCGUGAGUGAAGAAGGUUUUCGGAUCGUAAAGCUCUGUUGUAAGAGAAGAACGAGUGUGAGAGUGGAAAGUUCACACUGUGACGGUAUCUUACCAGAAAGGGACGGCUAACUACGUG
rnacentral:rRNA from 1 species